UAUGGGUUAGUGGCGGACGGGUGAGUAACGCGUGGAUAACCUGCCGUAUACAGGGGGAUAACACUUAGAAAUAGGUGCUAAUACCGCAUAAGCGCACGGUUCCGCAUGGAACAGUGUGAAAAACUCCGGUGGUAUACGAUGGAUCCGCGUCUGAUUAGCCAGUUGGCGGGGUAACGGCCCACCAAACCGACGAUCAGUAGCCGGCCUGAGAGGGUGAACGGCCACAUUGGGACUGAGACACGGCCCAAACUCCUACGGAAGGCAGCAG
rnacentral:rRNA from 1 species